rnacentral:sRNA from 1 species
AUAAUUAUAGGACUGUCUUUUAAAAGAUGAAAUCGGCUGCACUUACUUUUCUGUUGGGUUGUUUUCUGAUUUUCAACUUAGGUAUUGUUGAUGUUUUUUCAGAUCCCCUUAAAAAUAUUUUCGAUGGAAUUGGAGAUAUUUUUGCUGGAAUUGCGCGUAUUGUAAAUGGUGGUAAAGUUCCUCCAAGUGGUGCUAAAGCUGGAAUAGGAGGUGCAAGAGCCGAAUUUGGAGGUGCAAGGGCCGAAUUCGGAGGUGCAAGAGCUGAGAUAAAGGGUGCUAAAGCUGAAUUUGGAGGUGCAAGCGCCGAAUUCGGAGGUGCAAGAGCUGAGAUAAAGGGUGCUAAAGCUGAAUUUGGAGGCGUGGGAGCUUCACUAGCGGGAAAACGAAAACGUUCUGUGAAGUAAUGGAACACGCUAGGAUUGAUUUUAUAAAACAGAAUUAGAAAACAUGAGCGAUAACUGCAGUGCCAUUUUAUUAUUCGAAAUGCCAAUACACAAGGAAUGUAUAUCUGAUCAGAGUUUAUCAUGCUGUUAACGCUUUGACAAUAAACUAAGAAAUCAUCCAAAU